rnacentral:rRNA from 1 species
GCAGGCUGCAACUCGCCUGCAUGAAGUCGGAAUUGCUAGUAAUGGCAGGUCAGCAUACUGCCGUGAAUACGUUCCCGGGCCUUGUACACACCGCCCGUCACACCAUGAGAGUUGGGAAUACCCGAAGCCUGUGAGCUAACUAAUAGAGGCAGCAGUCGAAGGUAGAAUCAAUGAUUGGGGUGAAGUCGUAACAAGGUAGC